AUUUAAUAAGUAUGAAAAAAUUGAUAAAUUACAAAUAUUAACAAUCAACACUUUAAUCAAUUAAAAUGAGAGAGAGAGAGAGAGAGAGAGAGAGAGAGAGAGAGAGAGAGAGAGAGAGAGAGAGAGAGAGAGAGAGAGAGAGAGAGAGAGAGAGAGAGAGAGAGAGAGAGAGAGAGAGAGA